GUCUGCUUUUUUAGUAAGUCAACCCCCUUUCAAAUGAAGUCUCGACCUCCUCUGAAUGAUAGUGUGAAGUGAUAGUCUAAAGACUAUCGUAGUCUAAAUGAUAGUCUAUGUUUAAUGUUUUUCAUAAUUUUAAACGAAAAAGUAAAAUGAGUAUUUACUUUGUAGAUUUAGAAAAUGAGAUUAUUCUACAAUUUGGAUAACUUAUCAUGUCUUUGAAACAUAUCAGUUAUUAGAAAAUGCUUGGUGAGAAAGAAAAAACCAGCUCUGGCAGCUGGGAAGUGGCCUGACCUGACCCUUAUAGCUGGGCCUUGGUGUUCUCCUGUUGAACGUAAACAGUUUCACCUAUCCCCAACAUCAGACAAGGCAGCCGUACCUAUCAUAGAUCCAGACAAAAAAAGACCACAAUCAAGUCUGAAUUCAGACAAAAAGCAGAUCAUCCUUCGAAUUGCAAAAAUCAAGCAUCCCACUGUAGUGACCAAAAUAAGUGACUGCUUUUCAAUUUAAUUUUACUUUUUAAAGACAAGGUCUUGCUCUGCCACCCAGGCUGGAGUGCAGUGGCAUGAUUUCAUAGCUCACUGCAACCUCAAACUCCUGGGCUAAAGCAAUCUUCCUGCCUCAGUCUCCCAUGUAGCUAGGACAACACAGUUGUGUGCUACCAUGCUUGGCUAAUUUUUUUUUUUUUUUUAAAGAGAUGGGAUCUUGCUGUGUUACCCAAGCUGGUCUUGAACUCCUGGCCUGAAGCAGUCCUGCUGUCUUGGCCUUCUAAAGCACUGGGAUUACAUAUGUUAGCCAUUGCACCCAGCCAGCUUUUAAAAAAAACAUUACAGCCUUAGGAUUUUGCCUUCCUAUUGGCUUUUUAGAUCAAUCAGAGUACUUAAUUCCCAGCCAUAGUUUUAAGGCUGUCUCAUGGUGUUAAAUCCAUCAUACUGUUUUGUUAACUUUCAUUCAAAUCACCCAAAAGUUAUUAGGCCUUGGGCUUAAGAAAUGGACAAUUGGUUAAUAGUUUGAUUUCCGCACCCCCCGCCCUCCACAGGUUUUCUUUAGGAAUUUCUCAUAACUAUUUAUUGUAUCCAUAAGGAUUGCAAGGUCUCUUGGAUCAGACACCAGGUUGUUACCAGGCUGGAGUGCAUUGGUACCGUCACGGCUCACUGCAGCCUCCACGUCCUGGGCUCAAGGGAUCCUCCUAUCUCAGCCUCCCAAGUAGCUGGGUCUACAGGUAUACUCUACCACCCCAGCUUAAUCAUUUUUAAUAUUGCGUUUUCUUGGGGGUAAGGGAAAUAAGGAGUUAAAUGUAAAACCGUUUUACUUAUAAAAGGCUAAGAAUAUUUGGUAAGAACUUGGAAUAAUCAAGGAAGCAAAACAAAGUAGAUUUUAUAAUUUUGCUGGAUAGUUUUUUUUGUUUUUUGUUUUUUUUUUCUUUUUUGGAGAUGGAGUCUCACUCUGUCACCCAGGCUGGAGUACAGUGGUGUGAUCUUGGCUUACUGCAGCCUACACCUCCUGGGUUCAAGCAAUUCUCCUGCCUCAGCCUCCCAAGUAGCUGGGAUUGCAGGUGUGCACCACCACACCUGGCUAAUUUUUUAUCUUUUUAGUAGAGAUGGGGUUUCGCCACGUUGGCCAGGCUGGUCUUGAACUCCUGACCUCAGGUGAUCCACCCUCCUCAGCCUCCCAAAUUGCUGGGAUUACAGGCAUGAGCCACUGCGCCCGGCUGAUUUAUUUUGUUAAGUAAGUUAAUGUGCAGAUCUGAAGUUAGGUAAUUAUACACAGGCAUUUUCCUGGGACAAACUUCAAGUGCCAGGUACUUGCACUCUUAAUACUGUCUUACCAUCCAGUUAUAACUGGACAAAAUAUACACUUGAGACACGGAAAAGGUCUUAGCCUUAAACAUGACAUCGUAAGCUUCUUACAGCAGUGUAAUUGAGGCAUGGAGAUAAUGUCUUCAAGGUUCCCCUUCUGUGUACAUGUCUUAUGUAGGAUAAUAUUCUUAACAUUUUAUUCACUUCAAGUCACCCCAUUUUGCCCUGAUUUCUUCUGAAGAACAGAAACUUUGGUUAUAAGAAGCACUUCUGGGUUCUGACAGACAGUGAACCUGCUGGAGUCGGUGGUGGGGAGGAAUGGUAGGUAACUGGGAGGUAAGCAACAGGAACAAUAGGCAAGGUUAGAAAAUGAAGUGGGAGAAGUUAUAAAAAUUUAUUUUCCCACGAAAUAAUUCCACAAGCUGUGUAAACAUUUCUUACUAAAACAAAUACUCUAACACACAAAGAUUGUACAUUUCCAGUGAAACACUCACAGUAAAAUUGCCUGUAUUUUCACUCUCUAGGAGCAAAAACAAGGAGGCAGCAGAUGAAUGCUUUCCUAGUUACCUUUGGCAGCAAGCUUACUCACAUUCCCUGACUGCUCAAUGGGUUAUUAAAGCAACAUACAGCACAAUUAAAUACAGAGCCAGGUGGGCAGAAUGCUCGAUAUCAGUCUCUAGUUUCUUCAUUAGUCUUCAGCAUUCCAAUUCAUCUCAACCAUUCAGUCACUCGGUGCACACUUUCUUACAUACGGACACACACACGUGCAUAUAGCGAGUUCCGGCUCGUAGACUCCAGUGCAGUGACUAGAACAGACACUAGCUACUAAGAAUGUGUCACAAUCAGUGUGAACUGUAUGGAGUAGAACAACCUCUGGAGUUUUAUAUUUACCAUAAUUUAUGGUGGAAAUUACAAACUUACAAGGAUGGUAUAACAUUCAGAAUUCAAACCUUUUCAAGUCAAGCAAUCACACAUAUUUACAGUAUGUACACACUUUCUACUAGAAUGAGGAUAGGUGUCUAGACAAUGUUAUUACAAAUUUCCUGAAUGUGGGCAUUUCUAGUCCCUGUAAUUCAUAAAGCAAAUCUGCUGACUUGGCAUUAAGACUCUAAAAUAGUGUGAUCAAACUGAUAUAUAUAUAUAUAUAUAUAUUAUAUAUAAUAAGGUGUUUGCAGAAAUAACAUUUACAAACUGUCUAUACAGUACACAGUACUAGUACAUAGAAAAUAGAUUCUAACUUUAUGAUCCCCUUUGUGUAAGGCAAGACUGAAUCUGUCCCCAAAUUUAGUCAGCCAGAGGUACAAGCAAGAAACAGUGGUCCAUGAAUGAAUAUGCAAAUCAGGUGCCUGCGUAUUAAAAAUCUGGAGAAACAAGAAAUUCCACUUUUUUAUCUGUGCUGAUUCUGGCUUGUUGGAUACAUCAACUACAUUUCUUAAAACGCUAACAUCACCUGGGUGGCAACAGAUUUUGUUCAAGUGGCAGCUACCCAAAACAGUUUUUGAAGAGUCCAGUAUGCAACCGGAGGACUGCAGCCAUACCAGGCCAAUUUAUGUAGCACUUACAAAAGAAAAAGUAUCUUAAUACUCUAUCCAUGCUAUUGCUAUUCAAGCAACAGCAAUACAAAAUAUUACAAGACAGAUCACAUAUGAUUGCAGUGUAGACCCCAAAGACUUUGUUUUGGGGAUGCUGUUAUACAAGACUUCAAAAAAAAAAAAAAACACACACAAAAGGGCAAAAGUCAUUGGCGGAUGUAAACAUCCCUGUUCCACUCCCCAGCCUCAUUCCGUUUUUUUGAUAUCACUUCUCCAUCCUUUUCACAGUAGCGAUCCUUGGAUUUAUGACGGCUGCGCUGCUUGUUGCACUCGUUGUGGUCCUGCUCUCGAUCCACGUCCCGGGAACGGUGCCGGGACUCCCUGUGUCUGUGGUCACUGCUCCCGUGGGUCUCGUCUCUGUGGUUGUGGUCACGGUGUGAGGCAUAGUGGUCCACGUGGUCAUGGGAAUAAUCUUCCUUUGGCUCUACGUAGGCAGAGUCUCGACUCUCCUGGGUUUCCGAGUCAAAUGUCUCUUGCCUGGAGAGGCCGCGACUUGUCCCACUGCGAUGGUUGUGGUGUGGGGCUGAGGAGGAAGAGCGGUGCUGGGAUUUCUUGACUGGUUCCACACUAGGUUCUUCUUCAGCUUGGGAAGCAGAACGGAUAGGAGCGGAGCGAUCAGUCCUCUGAUCACCUUGAGAACCCUGGCAGCGAAAGGAGCACACCAGGCGUUAACUAAGGUCAGUGUGUAAAGAACAUGUCCCAGAGCAAGUGCAUUCAAGCAGAGUCCUUUUUAAGCAUCCGAAAAGCUGAAAUGAAGUCUAACCUAGCUUCAUCCCUUUGGUAACAUCCAGUGGCAUUUUAUAAGGCUUUAUACUAUAUUAAAUUGGACUUUUGUAAGUGCCUAGAACAGUGCCCAUGGUAACUUUUUCCUUAAAAAAAAAAAAAAAAAGCAGCAGCAGGGAAAAUGUUCUUUUAUUUAUUCUCCUGUGGCUCAAAUACAGAUGCAGGUCCCUGAGAUUUUGCUAUACAGUGGUGUAAACUUAACUACCUCUGCUUGACUGUAUGUGAGAAUAUUAAAAAUAGCAAAUGCUUACUUGAUACAGUGAUACAAUAUGGGACAGGCACUGUUCUAUAGACCCUUUGUAUAUAAUAACUCAUUAAUACAACAGCCCUAUAAGAUCAUCUCUUGAGAUUAUUAAUUCCAGCAGCCUCUUGGACAGGUUGCCAUUAUUAUUCCUGAGGUAAGAACAGUUAAGAAAUUUGCCCCAGGUUAUCCACCCCACAAGUGGUAAGAGGUGCAGCCAGGAUUUGAAUCUUGGUGAUCCACUUCCACAGUCUAUGCUACAGUUUAGAAAGUUUCUUUCUGCAGUCUGUGUAUGUUCCCAGUAUAUUCUGUUGAUGGUGCUUUUCUUACAGGUACAUACACAGCUCAUGCUGGACUUGCUUUGAGUUAAUAUACUAGAACAAGCCCCAAGCAGGCUACUGGGCUUGGAUCCUAGAGGUGUCACCAUAGGCAACCUUUUUUCUAUGGAGAUUGUAUAUAUAGAUAUAUAUAAAAACUCCCCUUACCUGUGAAUUAGAGGCUAGGGUGGGGCUAAGAGGCAGACUUGAAGUGGCUAAUGUACGGCUAAGGAGAGGGUUGGGGAGGCUGCUGCUGGGAGGAUGGGUGGCCUUCCAGUAGGCCUCCAGAUAGUCGGCAAGGUGCUCACAGGCAUCCUCAAGCUGGUUCUCAUCCAAGAUCACAUCGAACAGCUCCUGCAGAGGCAGACAUUCCAGACCACAUUGAUGCCAGCCCAGUUUUCACCCCCUUCCCACCUCCAUAAGAGGAGGAAGGGGCUUAUGAGCUGCACCCCUUUGUACUUGCUCCUGCUUCUAUAAGUGCUGCUACUGUCUCCCUUUUUAUUUAGUUAGGAAGUGUCUGACUACCUCAAAUCAUUGUUGAGGGCACUGAAUGCUUAACUAAUGAAUGCUUAACUAAUAAUGGCCAGAAAGGUAACAGUUGUUAAGGACAUGGCAACCCAGAAAAGUUGUCUAUCAGCAAUGAAAAAGGCAUAGAUACUAUGGUAGAAAAGAGAUGUAUAUAUAUUUGAACAGAAUAGGAAGAAGCCUGUUCUUGACAUCAAGAUUGUGAUAUCUUUUUUCUUUUUCUUUUUUUGAGACAGAGUCUUACUCUGUUACCCAGGCUGGAGUGCAGUGGCCUGAUCUUGGUUCAGUGCAACCUUGGCCUCCCAGGUUCAAGUGAUUUUCCUGCCUCAGCUUCUCAAGUAGCUGGGGUUACAGGUGCCUACCACCAAGCCCUGCUAAUUUUUGUAUUUUUAGUAGAGAUGGGGUUUUGCCAUGUUGGCCAGGCUGGUGUUGAACUCCUGGCCUCAAGUGAUUCACCCGCCUCGGCCUCCAAAAGUGCUGGGAUUACAGGUAUGAGCCACCAUGCCCGGCCCAAGAUUAUGAAAUCUGAAUUUAGAAAUUAAUAAGGUAAGAUUAGGAUGUGAAAUUUUGACAUUGUCCAAACUUCACAGUAGUUCAGUAGAGAAGAAAAUAAUGCCACUUUUCAAAAGAUUUUUUAGUGUUUAUUAUAAAUUUUAACAUACAUUAAGCAAUCAAAUAUUUAUAGACCCUGAAAUGGCUAUGCUUAAAAAAGAAAAAAAAGCCUGGUGCAGUGGCUCAUGCCUGUAAUCCUAGCACUUUGGGAGGCCAAGGUGAAUGGAUCACUUGAGGUCGGGAGUUUGAGACCAGCCUGGCCAACAUGGCAAAGCCCCGUCUCUACUAAGAAUACAAAAAUUAGCAGGGCAUGGUGAUGUUUGCCUGUAGUCCUAGCUACUUGGAGGGCCGAGGUGGGAGGAUUACUUGAGCCCGGGAGGCAGAGGUUGCAAUAGUGAGCUGAGACACCACCACUGCACUCCUGCCUGGGCAACAAAGCAAGACCCUGCCUCCAAAACUAAACCUAGGAAAGCUCUAAUACCUCAAGGCAUUGCAUGUAAAGCAUAGACGACAAGUGAGAAUCUAGGUAACUUAUUACUUAGAAAUUGAUUUGAGACCAUGUGAAAAUAAAUGUCUCAGACAGUUAGUUAUUAAGUUAAGAGCAGACAACUUGCUCCCUAUGAUCACAAAUGAAUAAUAUACCAACUCCAAAUAGACUCAUCAUACAAGCCAAAUUUUCGGAACCAGGAUCUUGUGUUAGAUAUUAACAAAGUGAAGUUAGUUACUGCAGGAUGUACUGAAGCUUUUGGUAAGCUAUGAUCAUCGUUUGGAUUACUUGUGCUCAAAAGACAUGAUCAUGGAAGGAGGGAGGACAGUUUACUUUGGAAUGAAUACCACUUUAAGUGAUGAGGAUUCUCUUCCCUGACAGGUGUUUGACUGUUUUUUUCAAAAUAAAUAUAAUGCCAUUUCUGGCCAGGCAUGGCGGCUCAUGCUUGUAAUCCUAGCACUUCGGAAGGCCAAGGCAGGAGGAUCACUUCAGGCCAGGAGUUCUAGACCAGCCUGGGCAACAUAGCAAGACUCUGUCUCUACAGGAGGAAAAAAAAAGUUAGCUGAUCAUGGUGGCAUGCACCUAUAGUCUCAGCUGCUUGGAAGACUGAAGCAAUAGGAUCACUUGAGCCCGGGAGUUCAGGGCUGCAGUGAGCUAAGACCAUACCACUUGCACUCCGAACAUGGGCAACAGAGCAAGACCUUGUCUCAAAAAAAGAAAACAGGUCUGAUCUCUGUAACUGGAUUAUGCUAUAUAUAGAGAUAACUUACUGGAGGACACUGAGCCAGUUUAUCAGCUGCUACCAUCUGGACGUUGAGGUGUUUAGCUUGAGAUUUCCCUCGAGAUUUUAUUAACCUUUGUAAAACCUGUAAAAGAUAAUGAGUUUUUAACAGAGUAAUAACUACAUCCAGGUAAAGUAAAGUACAAGGUACAUUAUUGACUCCUUUCUCUGGGGCCUUUUUAUAUACAGCACAAGGGGCUUAUAAUAGAUGGAGCUAUAAGAUUAUCUGCAAAAUUAACAUGUUAACAUAAAUCACAGUUGCAAGCUUUAAGCACUCACAUUCUUUUUUCUAUGCUAGCAGCUCUCAAACAUUUUAUCUCACAACCUCUUUAAAGAAGCUAAAAUGGAAAACUAUUAAAACAUUAAAAAACUCACAAUAAAUCUGAUACAUGUUAAAAUAUAUAUAUAUAUAUAUUUUUUUUUUUUGAGAUGGAGUCUUGCUGUGUUGCCCAGGCUGGAGUGCAGUGGUGCAAUCUCGGCCCACUGCAAGCUCCGCCUCCCAGGUUCACACCAUUCUCCUGCCUCAGCCUCCCAAGUAGCUAGGGCCUCCCAAGUAGCUAGGACUACAGGCACCCGCCACCACGACCGGCUAAUUUUUUUGUGUUUUUAGUAGAGACGGGGUUUCACUGUGUUAGCCAGGAUGGUCUCGAUCUCCUGGCCUCAUGAUCCUCCCACCUCAGCCUAGCAGAGUGCUGGGAUUACAGGUAUGAGCCACUGUGCCCAGCCGAAUUUUUUAAAUAAAAAUAGCUACAUUUUUACACAUCUCUCUAAUGGCUGGCUGGCUUCAUCGAAGACAAUUGCAGUCUCCUGUUUGCUUCUACAGUCAACCUGCUGCAAUGUCAUGUUUUGGUUGAAAUAUGUGAAGAAAAUCCAACCUCCUACAGAUUUGUAAUUGAGAAAAGGAGAAACAAUUUAGUAUAGUCUUCUUUGAUACUACACUAAAACUCAAUAAAUGGUAGUUCCUUAAAGACUAUUUGUUAUGUGGAACCUGAACCUGCAGUGCAAUUUUCUUACUCCAUGACAUUCCAUUGGUCUGUCUUGAAAUUAAUGUUAUUCAUUGAUCAUACAAACAAUAAUGGUUCACUGACUUCAGAUCUUCCAAAUGUUGACAUAUUUCAUUAUACAGUAUUAAAACAUCAUAUUCAUUAAUAUUACCAUUGAUCUCCUCAGAUAAAACUUUAUUGGGAAGCUUGCAAGUUCUCAGAGAUGCAUACAAGUUUUCUAAAAUUCUGAUUGUUGUCUGAAAGCUUGAGUUUUAUCAUUGGCAACACAUGCUGUUCUCCUUUAAGUGACAGGCUUAUUUUGUCCAAGAAAAUAUCUGCUACACCAAGUCGGAAUAAGCAUAGCCUGUCAGUUGUUGUUUGAGAUAAAAAUGGUAUUCUAUGAAAAACAUGGCUAGUUUAGUUCACAACUCAAUCAAACCAGUGCUUGUCCUUACUUUUUGGUAUGCAGCAGGAGCUUUGUAUGUACUUUGUUUUAGUACACUGAAUAUUAAAAGUCAAGAUUUAAUAAAAGUAAUAAACUUUACUAUUUUAUCAGGACAUUAAGUGAAAUUGGCUUUUUUCCCCCUCAAACUGCGAAAGCAUGGUGGCGGUGAAUACAUUAAUUGCUGGUACUUUGAUACCACAGUCUUGAUUUAUGUUUAGACGCCAGCAGUUUUACCCACCAUUGCUUUUGCAUCAGCCAUGCAAAUAUCAAAACAGUGAAAAUGGCAAAUAAUGUCUUAGUAUUAUCAUGGAAGUAGUUUUGACUAAAUGGACCCUCUAAAAGUGUCUCAACACUCUCCAGGGAUCCAUGGACCACACUUUGAGAACAGCUGUUCUAAGCCAUGAAACUAUAUCAAUUUAAAAAUUCUUGACUAUCAUGUCUCUUCAAAUUCUCUAUACAUCAUAAAGGCUAUUACAAUAGCCUAAUUAUAGAAAGCAGAACAUAAAAUACAUUUUAGGAAAGUUUGAUUAUAGAGCAAACAGUAGCAGUCCUACUUACCUUAGGAGAAGAAAUCUUUACAUAUACUAUAAUAGGGGCCAAGGAGGUUUUACUGAGUUGAGCUGGAUGAUUAAUUGUAUCCGCGUCAAGGACCACCAACUGCAAUGUUCUUGCAAGUUCAAAAAUCCUUUCGAUUUCACUCUGAACUUCCGCUGUAAAGGGUGAAACAAUUCAGUUAAAGUGCAGUAUUUUCAAGAUAAAGUAAAAUGGUAUACUAUUUCUUCAACAGAAAGGUGAGUAGGUCAGCCAUUGUGUUAAUGCUUACAGGCAAUAGAAUUGAUAAAAAUUUACAACAGUAAUUUAUCCUUUUGGAAAGGGCUGUUUCUCCACACAUCAUUAGGAUUUAAGGAAUUUUUCUGUCAACCGGCUACAGAAUUUACUUUUAGUAUAAUACUUGGAUUGUGGAAAUUUUUAGCUCUCUGCUGACAUUGUUUGUGCUUGCAGUCUAUGAAAUCAUUUCAUAAAACUGCUGUAAAAUAAGAACCUUGAGAUAUCUUCCGUGUGUUCAUUGCAGACCACUUUGCAUUAGCAACCAUGACAGGUUUUCCUUUCAGUGCACGGGCUGAUCUAUGUUGACAUGUCACCUGUAUGCCGUCUAGAUGUUUAUUAACAAGAUGAAAUACAAAAUAAAACAGCAAAGACGUGAAUGGCACCGGAAAGAAACUUAUCCAAAAACACACCUCAUAUUUUCCAACCAAAGUAGUCAUGUUUUAAAAGGGCAGUUUUCAGAGGCAGCACUACGGAAAUCUAAAGUAUAAAAUUUAUAGAAACUUAUCACAAAACAUUAGAAUAUCUAGUUGAACUCCGAGAAAAUUGCAUUCAGUUCAUCUGUUCCGUGAUCUCCAAAGACUCAAAAACUGGACUGUCUGACCGAAUUUUCUGCAAUGAGGGAAAUAUUCUCUGUAUGUGGUCCAGCGUGGCAGCAGCUAAUGGGCUACUGAGCACUUGAACAGGCGUGUAAAUUUUUAAAAUUUAAUAAAUAGGCAGAAGCUACUAUUACUAGGCAGCAUAGGUCUAUAAAGCAUGGUACAUAGCUUUCACUUCCCACUGCAGUCGUGGAGGUUGAAUUCCAUGAGACUUUUAUGCUAGCAAAUGUGGAUUUACAAUUACCUUUUAAUUCCUCUUAGGCAGUUCGAUUCUUGCCAGAAGCUUCCUGGAGAUAAUUUUAACUAGUACCUUAUUGAAGAAAAGGUAAUUCUCUGGUCACUAAUCCAUCUGCCUCACAAUAUGUUAUGACUUGAGUCCUUUUUUUUAACCUAGAUAUCUUUAAAAAAUCAGGGCCCAAACUACAUGAGAUACUAGCUUUAAAAUAACAUUGGGCCACUGAAUCCCAGUCAAGUUACAACCUAAAUUAAUAUUUACUGUAAGCAUUAAGAAAUCUGAUCACAAAGAUUUUCAUCUUUGUUUCAUCUGUUAAGUGUUCAGACAGUCACAGCAUCCCCUGUAACUCCUUGCUUUUAAAGGUUUGAGUAGUACAAGUUUAAUAUGUGGGGUUUUUUUUUUUUUUUGAGACAGAGUCUCUCUCUGUCUCCCAGGCUGGAGUGCAGUGGUGCAGUCUCGGCUCACCACAAUCUCCCCCACCUCCUCAGUUCAAGCGAUUCUCUCGCCUCAGCCUCCCACAUAGCUGGAAUUACCGAUUACCGGCAUGUGCCACCAGGCCCAGCUAAUGUUUUGUACUUUUCGUAGAGAUGGGGUUUCACCAUGUUGGCCAGGCUGGUCUCAAACUCCUGACCUCAAGUGAUCUCCUGCCUCAGCCUCCCAAAGUGCUGGCAUUACAGGCGUGAGCCACUGCGCCCAGCCCUAAUAUGUGCUGAUUGUAUAAAACCUGGAUAGCCUUAAAAUAUAUUACAUAUAUGGAUAUUAUUUAUAUUAUGUCAAUAUAUUAACAUGUUUUAAUAUAUACACAUAUAUAAAGAUAUUUGUGGUAGCCUUACAUACAUACUUUACACUCCUUUAAUUAAAGGGAAAGAGUUUUAAAAUAUUUUAAAGUGGACUUUCAGAAUCCUGGUGCAACACUGUAUUAGUAGAUACAACCUUAAGAAUCGAUGACAAAUUCUGAUAACACUUUUGACUUCAAAGUAAAAAUGAUGCUUUUAAAAAGGGAUGUAUCCAUGCUAGGAAUUUUCCUUUGACAGAGUAUAUCAUGCUCAGAAUUUACUCUAAUAAAGAAAUGUCAGAAACUUCCCCAAUGUUCGUUUCUGAAACUGAAAGUCAAUUUGAUUCUUUCCAGUUGUCCUAGCUAAUGAAAGAAUGCAGCUCAGCAUCUUGAAGAGGGGUCAAGCCUUCCUCAUCUCCCCACAUCCCACAGUUUCUUAUACCCACUGAAUUAAACUGAAAAAUGAAGAACACCUUUCUAUGCUUUAUAUCUCUAAUAUCUAUAAACAACAACAGGAACAAUCAAUGUUUCCUCUUAGAUAAAGAAGAGAAGCUACAACACUGAUCAUUAGAGAAAUGCAAAUCAAACCACAAUGAGAUACCAUCUCCCACCAGUUAGAAUGGCUGUUAUUAAAAAGUCAAAAAAUAACAGAUGCUGUUGAGGUUAUGGAGAAAAAGGAACACUUAUACACUGUUGAUGGGAGUGUAAAUUAGUUAAACCAUUGCGGAAGACAGUAUGGUAAUUCCUCAAAGACAUAAAGAUAGGAAUACCAUUUGACCCAGCAAUCCCACUACUGGGUAUAUACCCAAAGAAAUAUAAAUCAUUCUAUUAUAAAGAUACACGCAUGUAUAUGUUUACUGCAGCACUAUUCACAAUAGCAAAGAUGUGGCAUCAACCUAAAGGCCCAUCAAUGAUGGAGUGGAUAAAGAAAACAAGGUACAUAGAGGGUUAAUGACACACACACUGGGGCCUAUCAGGGUGGGAGGAAGAAGAGAAUCAGGAAAAAUAACUGAUGAGUACUAGUCUUAAUACCUGGGUGAUAGGAACUUAAAAGUUAAAAAACAAAAAGCAGAAGUUAACUUACUUAGAAGGAGGUUUCUGUAAUCAAACAAUACUGUAAUAACAGAGUAGAGAUGGUUACUUUCAUUGCGGCUAGUGUUGAGGGACACCUAAGUGGUCAGUUAGGAAUUAAUAAGACCUGGAGGUAGCUCUAGUAUGAGUUAUUUAAUGCCAUAUGUGUAAUUCCAAUGCCAUUUUCAUAAUUACUACACACAAAACUCUUAAUUUUGACCAGUGCCUGCCUUAUCUUGCAAAAAGAAUCUGUAUAAGCCUUCUCUAACUACCUUUCUCCCCAGGCUCAGUAAAUUCUGCCUCUCUGUUCCCACUGCCACAUAUCAAAGUGGCUUGGGGGGCAGAAGUGAAGCGUCAUUGCUUCAUAGAGCUUUAUGGUCAGUGGGUAACAUAUUGAACUUCUUAGAACCUAAGUAUUCUAAUCUGUAUUACGGAAAUGAGGACUAAAUUAAUCCACAUGCAAAGCUUCUGUUACAGUUAUUGCAGUACUUGGCCUACACUAAGUGCAGACAGUCCAUGACUUAUGAUUGUUUGACUUAAAGAUUUUUCAACUUUAUAAGAGUGUGAAAGCAAUAUAUGUAAAGUGGGAACCGAACUUUGAGUCCCCAUACAACCAUUCUGUUUUUCACUUUUAGUAUUCAAUACAUUACAUGAUAUACUCUACACUGUAUUAUAAAAUGGGUUUGGUGUUAGAUGCAGUUGGUUUGCCCAACUGCAUUUUUUUUUUUUUUUGCAUUUUUGUACUUUUUGCGUUUUAUUAUAAUAAUAUUACAGCCUCCUCCUUGGCUCACUCUUUAUUCCUUGGUCUGCUGCUGCUGUUAGAAUUCUCAACCACUGACCAACCAUCUCUGUCUGUCUAUAUAUACAAGAUUUUGUCCAUGUCUUCCUGUAAAACAAACACUAUGAGAAAGAGGACUUUGUGUCCUUCACUUUUGUGUCCCUGGGCACCAAAAUAAUGGCUGGCACAUGGUUGGUAUUCAAGUAUUUGCUAAAUGAAUGAAUGCCUCCAGUCUGUACAUGGUCUCCUACCACCUUAAGAAUAAUGACAUGGUUUGGCUGUGCCCACCCAAAUCUCAUCUCGAAUUGUAGCUCCCCUAAUUCCCACAUGUCACAGGAGGGACCUGGUGGGGGGUAAUUGAAUCAUGGGAGUUGGUCUUUCCCAUGUAGUUCUCCUGAUAGUGAAUGAGUCUCAUGAGAUCUAAUGGUUUCAUAAAGGGGAGUUCCCCUGCGUAUGCUCUCUCUUGCCUGCUGCCAUGUAAGAUGUGACUUUGCUCCUCCUUCACUGUCUACCAUGAUUGUGAGGCCUCACUAGCCAUGUGGAACUGUGAUUCCAUUAAACCUCUUUACUUUAUAAAUUACCCAGUCUUGGGUAUGUCUUUAUUAGCAGUAAUUCUUGUGAGCGUCAAAUGAUGUGUGGAAAGAGUUUUAAGUGUGAUAGAUAAGGACAUAAAAAAGAAAUUGCUAUAAGUAAAACAAAUGAUCACAUUUUUUCCUGAGAACAGACUAAUACAAAUAAGCUCCAACCUUUUCAUGUCUUAUGCCUGCCUCUCUCUGUCAUGUCAUCUCCCAUGUCCUUCUUUUUAAAACAAUAUAUUUUAGCUUAAAUGAAGCACCUAUGUUUUUCAGAAGCCUGUUGUGGCUUUCACUGUCUCGAAUCACUGUCACCCUCUCCACUCCUUUCCCUUUUUUCUUGGCUAAAUCCUGUCAUCUUCAAGUCUCAGCUCAGGAUCAGCUCCCUGGAAAAGCCUUUCCCUGUGCCUCCUGCAGCAACAGCUCUUUGGCAGCCAGUUCAUGGCUCGACCACUUUGCUCAUCACCCUCUAUCUCAAAGGGCUCUUCACUGAUUCGCCUUAUGGCUACACCCAGCUCCUUGAGGGAAGGGGCUUCAUCAGUUUCUUUUUUUAUUCAUGGGCUUCCACAUGAUAUUUGGUAUCUAGUGUAUGCUCAAUGAAAUACAUAGACUGGAAAAUUCAUUUAAAAACAGUGUAUAAUCAGUAGUUGUAAAAAAAAAUCUUGGCAAUCUAAGGAAAUCUGUUAUGUAAUUGAUUCCACUGAUGAGUCUAAAAAAUUACUUGACUUUGUUAAUUCAGUUUAAUUUAUGAAAUGAGCAUUUUAUAAUAAUUCUUGGCCAGGCACAGUGGCUCAUACCUAUAGUCCUGGCACUUCAGGAGGCCAAGGCAGGAUUGCCCGAGCCUGGGAAUUGGAGACCAGCCUGGGCAACAUAGUGAGACUCCCUCUCUACAAAAAAUUAGCCCAAUGUAGUGGCAUGUGCCUGUAGUCCCAGAUACUCAGGAGGCUGAGGUGGGAGGUUUGAUUGAGCCCAUGAGGUCAAGGUGCAGUGAGCCAUGAUCCACACCACUGUACUCCAGCCUGGGUAACAGAGUGCGACCCUCUCUCAAAAAAGUCAAAAUAAAAAGUAAUUCUUGUGAGCAUCAAAUGAUGUGUGGAAAGAGUUUUAACUGUGACAGAUGAUAAGGACAUAAAAAGGAAUUGCUAUAAGCAAAACACAUGAUUACAUUUUUUCCUCAAAUAUAUUUCUAAACCUGUUACUGAAGUUUUGCCAACGAAGGGUUGUUAGGUGAGAAACAAAACUGAGUUCUAUAAUGUAUCAUGCUCAUUGCUAACAGAUAAAGCUUAUUAUUUAUAAUAGUUUUUCUGUUAUUUAUAUAAUCCUACUUCAGAGUAAACGAAGAACUUCUAUGCUAGAAACCAGCCUCUCAGAGGAUUUGUAUAUCUAACCUAUAAACAGAGAAAAAUUAAGCUCAAAGAUCUGACACAACUCUCAGAAAGUUUACUUUAUAAAAACAGAAACCUGACCAUCCAGUAAGCAACAUGUGUAACAGUGAUUAACCUAAAACUCCAAGCACAUACCAAAAAGAUUAAAUAGCAGCUGAAGGGUCUCAAUGUGAUCAAUUCAGUAUACGUUAAUAAGCAGUAUCCACAUACCAUCUCUGUAAACACAAUAACUCCCUACACUGUUUUUAUAAAUAAAACAAACAUAUUGAUAUCUAUCAAUAAAUAUAGCCAGGAAUUAACAUCAUCCUUUACUAAUUUCCACACCCACAAAUUAUACUCUCCUGAGAAUGAUUUCAUUAUUGAUAUAUAACUGGAAUUAAGGAAUAUUUAGGAUAAUAAUGGAUAUCAUUUAUUGAGCACAUAUCAUGUUUAAUCCUUGCAAUGAUUCUAUGAGGUAGGUAUUUUAUUUCUUUUUUAGGAUGAGGAAAUGGAGGCUUCAAAAGGUUAAUAAACUUGCUCAUGGUAACACUGAUGCAAAGCCAGGAGAUCUUAGAGUCUGCAGACACCAAAGCUCAUGUUAGUGAAAACAAACCACAACCAAAACAUUAAUGCUGACAGCCUGUGGAAUUCUUAACUUGAAACUAUCAUAACAAAUCCUUCCACACCAUGAAAUCAGUAAGACCAUAGCAACAGCGACUGGCAGCACACACCUGUUUUUUCUAUACUCUGUGACACAUGGAAUUAUCAUCUUGUUAGGUCUUCUCAUCAUCAACAUCGGGAGAGGAGAGUUUAAAAAGCUUAAGCUCAUUGCACAGACUUACCUAAGCUUGACCUUGUGUUGGAUCUUUCUAUUAUUGCGUGCUUACUGGGAUUGUUUAAUACCGAGCGUUUGGCAAGCGAGAUGUCAGCGGUGACCCUUGUGAUGGAUAUCCUGUUGGAGGAAAAAGUCACAGAAGACCUUAAGGUUAUUGGUCUAAUCAAAGGGGGUAGAAGUGUAUGCCCCAAAUUCAUCUAAGUAUGAAAUAUAUAUAGCAACCGUAUUUUCAAACCAUAUGUGUUAGGAUACUUACUUACUCAUUUUUUUUUCUUACUUAUUCAUUUUUAUCUUGCACCUGCCUUACUUUGUUUUUUGUUUGUUUUGAGACAGAGUCUCGCCCAGGCUGCCCAGGCUGCAAUGCAGUGGCGCGUUCUCGGCUCACUGCAAUCUCCACCUCUCAGGUUCAAGUGAUUCUCCUGCCUCAGCCUCUGGAGUAGCUGGGACUACAGACUAUGGAAAUGAUGUCAGACAAAAAGCGAAUUUGAGUGACUUUCUUAUUCGAGUUCAAAAUGGGUCGUAAAGCAGUGGAGACAACUUGCAAUAUCAACAAUGCAUUUGGCCCAGGAACUGCUAAUGAACGUACAGUGCGGUGGUGGUUCACGAAGCUUUGCAAAGGAGACGAGGGACUUGAAGAUGAGGAGCAUAGUGGCUGACCAUUGGAAGUUGACAGCGACUACUCAAGAACAAUCAUCAAAGCUGAUUCUCUUAAAACUACACGAGAAGUUGCUGAAGAAUUCGACAUUGACCAUUCUACGGUCGUUCUACAUUUGAAGCAAAUCGGAAAGGUGAAAAAACUCAAUAAGUAGGUGCCUCAUGAGCCAAGCAAAAAAAAAUUGUUGUUUGGAAGCAUCUUCUCUUAUUCUGUGCAACAACAAUGAACCAUUUCUCAGUCGGAUUGUGACGUGGGACGAAAAUUGGAUUUUGUAUGACAACCACUGACAACCAGCUCAGCUGUUGGACUGAGAAGCUCCAAAGCCAAACUUGCACCAAAAAAAAAAAAAAAAAAAAAAGGUCAUGGUCACUGUUUGGUGGGCUGCUGCCGGUGUGAUCCACUAUAGCUUUCUGAAUCCCAGCGAAAACAUCACAUCUGAGAAGUAUGCUCAGCAGAUCGAUGAGAUGCACCGAAAACUGCAACGCCUGCAGCCGGCGUCGGUCAACAGAAAGCGCCCAGUUCUUCUCCGUGACAACGCCUGGCUGCACAUCGCACAACCGGCGCUUCAAAAGUUGAAUGAAUUGGGCUACGAAGUUUUGCCUCAUCCAUAUUCACGUGACCUCUUGCCAUCCAACUACCAUUUCUUCAAGCAUCUCGACAACUUUUUGCAGAGAAAAUUCUUCCACAAGCAGCAGGAUGCAGAAAGUGCUUUUCAAGAGUUUGCCAAAUCCCAAAGCACGGAGUUUUAUGCUACAGGAAUAAACACACUUAUUUCUCAUUGGCAAAAAUGUGUUGAUUGUAAUGUUUCCUAUUUUGAUUAAUAAAGAUGUAUUUAGGCCUA